UCAGGUUGAACGGGUUGUGUUUGGGUCAACCCACGAACAUUCAGAUUGUGUUUGGGUUCAUAUGUAUGACACAAUUUUCGGGUUCGGGUCUUGCUCGGGUUCGUCUAAAAUUUUUGGGUUCAGGUUGUGUUGAGCCUGUGAACACGACCCGUUUAGCACCCCUAUUUGUUCUACUACUCAGCCCUAUUUAGUCUGUGUGUGUGUCAUAUUUCAGCCCUAUUUGCAUAACUGUUUUUUUUUUCAGGGUUAUAUUAAGAACAUAACGCCAAAGGGAUGUUUUAUUUUGCUUUCUAGGAAGCUUGAUGCGAAAAUCCUCAUUUCAAACUUGUCUGACGACUUUGUCUCGAACUCCGGAACGCCUGCAAAUCAUGGUUCUGAUUCAUUCGAGAAUAAUUCCUAAUCUGAUGAGGAAACGCCUUUUGAGGUCCAGGAGCCACUGAUUCUGUCUGGGAAUGGGAAUCAUCCAAUGUUAGCGGAAGUGGAAUCAAGGGCUUUCGGUCCUUCCGCUUGACGUUUCGUUGGAUGAAACCUCGGUGCUCAAAGGGCUAUUGGUUUGGGUGGCACUGAAGCUGCCAUUAUUCCUAUUAGUUUGGGUGGUUUUGUGGCGUGCAGGGCCCUUUCUCAGAGAAAUAAAUGAUGACCCCCAAACGGUUUUGUCAUGGGUGAAGGUGCUGGUGUGUUGGUGAUGGAGAGCCUAGAACAUGCAAUGAAAAGGGGUGCACCAAUAAUUGCCGAAUACUUGGGCGGGGCGGUUAAUUGUGACGCUUAUCAUAUGACUGAUCCACGAUCCGACGGUCUUGGUGUUUCUUCUUGUAUUCAAAGCAGCCUUGAAGAUGCUGGUGUGUCACCAGAGGAGGUAAUAUUUUCAAUAUAAUAUAUAAAAAUAAUUUUGUUAAAACAUAAAAUAUAAUUAUGUUACAUUAUGUGAACAUAAGCUAACUACAAAAAUGCAUACGCAACGUUAACAUUGGUUGGUGAUCUGGCGGAGGUAAAUGCUAUAAAGAAGGUGUUCAAAAUCACUGACGGGAUUAAAAUGAAUUCAACCAUGUCUAUGAUUGGACACUGCCUAGGUGCAGCCGGAGGUCUAGAAGCCAUUGCUACGGUCAAAGCUAUUCAAACAGGAUGGUUGCAUCCCACCAUAAAUCAAUUUGUAAGGUAAAGAGCUUGAAAACAAGAGAAGAAUAUAAGAAAACCAUGUUGAAGACAGAUAAUUAUUAGACCAUGCGUAGUGUUAGCUCAAUAAUGUCUCCCUACCAUGGGGCGUUUUCUGCCAUGUGACAGUCCAGUUAGCAUGGGGGCAUUAUUGGGCGUUAUUGCAAAAGUGCCGUAGUGGGAAUAAUGCCCAAUAACGCCCCUUCCAAUCAUCAAAC